AGGAAUAUUCGUCAAUGGAGGAAACUCUGAACGAGCAAUGCCGCGUGAACGAUGAAGGCCCUAUGGGUUGUAAAGUUCUGUUGUUUGGAACGAAUAACUAGAUGAGGCAAUGCUUCUAGUCUGACGGUAACAUUCAAGAAAGCCACGGCUAACUACGUGCCAGCAGCCGCGGUAAUACGUAGGUGGCGAGCGUUAUCCGGAUUUAUUGGGCGUAAAGCGUGCGCAGGCGGUUUGUUAAGUCUAAAAUUAAAGUCCGAAGCUUAACUUCGGUUCGUUUUAGAAACUGGCAGACUUGAGUAUGGUAGAGGCAAAUGGAAUUUCUAGUGUAGCGGUAGAAUGCGUAGAUAUUAGAAGGAACACCAGUGGCGAAGGCGGUUUGCUGGGCCAUUACUGACGCUCAUGCACGAAAGCGUGGGGAGCAAAUAG
rnacentral:rRNA from 1 species